rnacentral:rRNA from 1 species
UACGGAGGAUCCAAGCGUUAUCCGGAUUUAUUGGGUUUAAAGGGUGCGUAGGUGGUUUUUAAGUCAGGGGUGAAAGACGGCAGCUUAACUGUCGCAGUGCCUUUGAUACUGAAGAACUUGAAUUAACUAGAGGUAGGCGGAAUGUGACAAGUAGCGGUGAAAUGCAUAGAUAUGUCACAGAACACCAAUUGCGAAGGCAGCUUACUAUGGUUAUAUUGACACUGAGGCACGAAAGCGUGGGGGAUCAAACAGG